CACUGGGACCUGGGCACAAGCAGGAACUACAAGAAUGACUGAAGAUGAAAUUCGAAAGCAAACUCCCCAAUGUUGCCUCUGCUCAGAUGACCCAGCAUGGAACAUCAUGAUGAGAGAGGACUCCCACUAGUCUUUACAAACCAACUGCAGCCUCUAUUACAAUGCUUCGUUGCUUUCAUAGAGCAUCUAACAAGGUCUGCUUGGUCUUCUCCAGCCCUGACUCUGCCUGAGCAUUUCUAGCAACAUUUGGCUUCCAGGACCUGUUCAGCAGCUCUGACCCUCUCAGCGGACCCUAAUUCCCUGGCUUUUUGUUUGAUGGGGAGAAAUUCCAGUCACCAGCUGUGAGUAAAAUCAGCAACUCAGGGUUAACCUAAACCAGGCUUCACAGAGAGUCAGUCUUCAGCUCGCCUCUCCCACCUCCAUGGCCAACACACUUUCCACAGUGUGUUUGAGGGUUUCCACACCCUCAAAGACAACACCUCCCAUUACUGCUUUACUGCCUCAAGUAGGGUGUCCUGCUGCACACUCCCAGUCUCCUCCCACUGUCAUCCCAGGUACUUGGUCGGUGCUUCAACCAUGGAGAUGAAAAAGAGAGCAGCUUCCAGAAGCUGACUUCUUAGCUCUGUUCCUAAGCCUUCCUUCCCUUCUCUCGCUGGCUUUCUGCCUCUUGCCUUUCCUGGUUCUGGACCCCAUGAGAACACAAUCGCUGAGACACUGCUCUGACACAUUGGUGAAAUUUUGGGAAAGGUUCAUGGAAAAUGGAAAAUGGAAAUAAUAAAUGCAACACUUCCUAGAAAUGCUAAAGACACAACUUCAUACAUCUCUGUAAAAAUGGGUUAGAAACACAGUCAGUGGGAAUGAGAAUAAAGACUUAGAAAGCUUAGCAAAUAUAUGUGCUGGCUCAUUGCAGAGUCAUCUUUUUCUAGUCUGUCUCUUCUUAGGCCCUGCUGCCAUAGGUCCCUGUCAUGCCUCUGUCCCUUCCCACCUCUCUCUUCCUGUCUCUUCUUCCCUGUCUGGUGUCUCCCUCUCUCACGUGCUUUCUCCCUAUAUCACAGACCAGAGUUCCUUAGCUUGUGUAGGCUAACCCAAGUGGCUUUUCACUUCAAUUGUUGCAAAAAUGUCUUUCUGGCUCCCUCAGCCCUUACUUUUGAAGUUCAACAUCUUUUUCUUUCAAAAUCAACAUCAUAUGAUUUGUCUUAGCUGCCUCAAGAGUGGCCCACUCUGUGUCCCCCUAACCUAACAGGUGCCUCAGAUCCAAUGACUUGAUCAUGGGAACACAAAGCCAUGGGCGUAGGAAAGGCCAAGAGAAAUAGACAUGACAUGGGGACCUCAUCCUUAGUGGAUGGAUUGGACUAUUUCCUCUGUAUUUCAGAGCAUUCCUGUCAAACAGAUGUGAAAAUCCAUUUGUCUCUGGAUCUCUUUGCAGGAUGGGGUGGGGUAGGGGGAAUUUUCCUGUCAGACCAUAACAAUCAGUGGCCCCCGAGUAAGUUGUCACUUUAGAGAGUGAUAUGUGAGACGUCUCCCAGUAAACAUUCUCAAUGCUAGUUCUUUUGACCAGAAGAAAUGAGUAGGCAGGCUCCUGCCCACCCCCAGCAACCACAUCCAUUAUUAGAGGCUAGCAUGGCUCUGCCUACACCUGCCUGGACGCAUCCCGUUCUCCGGCUCUGCAAGGAAGCUUCCUCUUCCUUGACCUCACUGCUAAAAGGCCCUAUUUGGACGGUUAGUCACUCCACCCGGCCCCUCAUGGCUCUGCUCAACCUCUGGGCUGCCAGCCGUGGCACACACCAACAUCCUUACUCUUCAGCUCCAUCUUUCCCUCUCAUUCCCUAAUGGGACUUAGCCUCUGAAACUCUAACAAGCCCAGGGAGAGACAAAAAAAGGCAACUGUAACGGCCUGUUUUCCUG
rnacentral:lncRNA from 1 species